rnacentral:rRNA from 1 species
ACAACUUUCAACAACGGAUCUCUUGGCUCUCCCAUCGAUGAAGAACGCAGCGAAAUGCGAUAAGUAAUGUGAAUUGCAGAAUUCAGUGAACCAUCGAAUCUUUGAACGCACCUUGCGCCCUUUGGUAUUCCGAAGGGCAUGCCUGUUUGAGUGUCAUUAA